AUUUUUAAUCCAAAAUUUCAAGAAUCUGAAUGGCAAUCUGCCAUUUUUCAAGCCAAAAACCGAGUGCCCAUUUGCUAGGGUUUCGACGCAGCAGCUUUGAGGCUUUUCCAUCCCUUUUUGUCCAUUCAACCGCCACCAUUCCACCAUUGAAAUCGAUGGAUGAUAGCUCGCAAUGAAAUCAUUCCAUUUCCCAAUUCUAAACCUCACCUCAGAAGGUCAGAUUUUAGCCUCAAAAACCUAUCUCAAGCUUCGAUUUCAACGAAGAAGAUACGGCCUUCGAUGGCUCAUUUGAAGGUAUGGAGGCCAGUUGGCGUGGUGGUACGUGGCACUCGGCGUAAGGCGUAUGGAGGCGCGCAUGACAGUCGUACGGUGCUGAAGGUUGGGGCUUGGCUGUGGCGCAAGGGGGAGAAACCCUAGGGUUUCUGUUUCUAACAUAUUUUGGGCCAUUUGGGCCUCAAAUUUUUGGGUUGUAAUUGGGUUAAUUUGGGCCCGAUGUACUGGUUUUGGGUCUGUAAUGGGUUAUGGACUUUGGACUUUGGACUUGGCCUUAAUUAUUUAUUAGUUUGGUUUA